AGUGAACGCUGGCGGUAGGCCUAACACAUGCAAGUCGAACGGCAGCACAGUAAGAGCUUGCUCUUACGGGUGGCGAGUGGCGGACGGGUGAGGAAUACACCGGAAUCUACUUUUUCGUGGGGGAUAACGUAGGGAAACUUACGCUAAUACCGCAUACGACCUACGGGUGAAAGCAGGGGACCUUCGGACCUUGCGCGAUUGAAUGAGCCGAUGUCGGAUUAGCUAGUUGGCGGGGUAAAGGCCCACCAAGGCGACGAUCCGUAGCUGGUCUGAGAGGAUGAUCAGCCACACUGGAACUGAGACACGGUCCAGACUCCUACGGGAGGCAGCAGUGGGGAAUAUUGGACAAUGGGCGCAAGCCUGAUCCAGCCAUACCGCGUGGGUGAAGAAGGCCUUCGGGUUGUAAAGCCCUUUUGUUGGGAAAGAAAAGCAGCAGGUUAAUACCCCGCUGUUCUGACGGUACCCAAAGAAUAAGCACCGGCUAACUUCGUG
rnacentral:rRNA from 1 species